rnacentral:rRNA from 1 species
GACGAACGCUGGCGGCGUGCUUAACACAUGCAAGUCGAGCGGUAAGGCCCUUUCGGGGGUACACGAGCGGCGAACGGGUGAGUAACACGUGGGUGACCUGCCCUCAGCUCUGGGAUAAGCCUGGGAAACCGGGUCUAAUACUGGAUAUGACUCCAUGACGCAUGUUGUGGGGUGGAAAGCCUUGUGCGGCUGAGGAUGGGCCCGCGGCCUAUCAGCUUGUUGGUGGGGUGANGGCCUACCAAGGCGGCGACGGGUAGCCGGCCUGAGAGGGCGACCGGCCACACUGGGACUGAGACACGGCCCAGACUCCUACGGGAGGCAGCAGGUGGGGAAUCUUGCGCAAGUGGGCGAAAGCCUGACGCAGCGACGCCGCGUGAGG